AAACCGAUGCCAUGGGUAUUUCCUCUGGAGUUUGGUCAGUGCAGCGGCAACAGAUAUACAUCAUCGAUGAAAAUUUCACGGUUCAAGAGAUACAUCCUGGUGACAGACGGACAGAGAGCCGUGCCUCAGCUUCUUUUCAUAAACUGUUUUUUUUUUGACGUAGCUUUCACACACCCUUGAAAAUAUAUUUUCUGAUUUCCUCAA